rnacentral:rRNA from 1 species
UACAGAGGGGGCAAGCGUUGUUCGGAAUUACUGGGCGUAAAGGGCGCGUAUGCGGCCUGCUAAGUCGAACGUGAAAUCCCUGGGCUCAACCCAGGAACUGCGUCCGAUACUGGCGGGCUUGAAUCCGGGAGAGGGAUGUGGAAUUCCAGGUGUAGCGGUGAAAUGCGUAGAUAUCUGGAGGAACACCGGUGGCGAAGGCGGCAUCCUGGACCGGUAUUGACGCUGAUGCGCGAAAGCCAGGGGAGCAAACGGG